rnacentral:ncRNA from 1 species
UCGACCCGUACGGGAGAGUCCCGUCCCAGGGCGCCGAAGGGGCAAUUCCUCCCCGGAACCUCUCAGGCCACAGGACCGUACGUCACAG